rnacentral:rRNA from 1 species
UACGUAGGGUGCAAGCGUUGUCCGGAAUUAUUGGGCGUAAAGAGCUCGUAGGCGGUUCGUCGCGUCGGCUGUGAAAUCCCGAGGCUCAACCUCGGGUCUGCAGUCGAUACGGGCGGACUGGAGUUCGGCAGGGGAGACUGGAAUUCCUGGUGUAGCGGUGAAAUGCGCAGAUAUCAGGAGGAACACCGGUGGCGAAGGCGGGUCUCUGGGCCGAUACUGACGCUGAGGAGCGAAAGCAUGGGGAGCGAACAGG